GCUUUAAUAGUUUAAAAUAAAAUAAUAUCUUUGUAAGUUAUUGAUGUGGUGUCACUUAAAGCU
rnacentral:tRNA from 1 species